CCCCGCGCGCGUAACGAGGCAACGCCUGGGUAGCGUCUACUGGGGCUCGAGGAAAUCACGUGACCGAGGAUCAGUCGCGUGAACGCCGCGUGACCCCUUUGCAAUCGGCCUGGCUCAAUGCUCAGGAGCAGGCCUGGCAAACAUCGGCCCUCCAGUGCUGGAAAUGAAGACCCUCGCUGACACGGGACCCAAAUGGAUGCAGCCUGCUCUUCAGCUGGGCUUGUCUUCACCUUCCUCAGAUUCUUACAAGCUGAAUGGGGCACGAAUUCAGAGGCUUGAGCUAUGCAGAUGCAGAGAGAGAGAGAGAGUUUGAAGAGAGAAGCACAGCAAGAGAGACAGACUGAUUUACUUCUGGCUGCUGAAAGAAGGUUUAUCCAACAUGGACAAAGAAAGACCAUUUUAAAUCUCUCAUGAAAAGGACUUUAUAACAUAGUUGUUACCUGCACGGCACAUCUUGCAACAACGUUGACCGUUAUAAGGAUAUUCUCCAUCAUUACAGCGAAACGGUGGAGAUUCAGCCUAAAAGAUUAAGAAAGAUAAAUUUCAAGCAACAAAGUAUAUUAUUCUAUCUUAAAUAUGUGACUUCAUGGCUUUUUAAAAAAUCAUAUUUUGUUAGCUAUCAUGUUCACAUGAAGAAAGUGCUUUGCUACAUUUUCAAAAAGUUAGAAACGUAUUUCAGUGUUGAACAAAAAUUGUUUAUUCCAUCCCAUCUCUCUCAAGAAGAGAGCUUGAAAUAUUUUAUAUUUCGACAACAACAAGAUCCUGCAGCCAACAUGGAGGAUUCCAUGAUGUGAAGUCUAAUAAACUAGUUUUCACAAACUUUACAAUAUUGAUUCCCAAACUUUGGUCCUUCAGCUCUUUUGGGCUUCCCAGAAUUCCUGAUAGUUGGCCAAGCUAAAUGGGGUUUCAGAGAAUCAUAAAAUUGGAGGAGACCACAAGGGCCAAGAAUCAGUGCCAAUGGGGAAAUGUAAAAGUAUGGACAGAUAUAAUUAGAUGAUAGGUAGAUUUUAUUUGUUUGUGGCACACUGUCCACUUCAAAACCUUAUGUUAAUACAGUACACAGUAUACUCUCAGUCUACUGGCAUUCAUUGAGAUUUGUAGAUGCUAGGUAAGGGCAACUUCUAGUUGCUUGAGAGUUACUAUUAAAAACAGGCCUAUCUAAUACCAACAUAUUAUAUCCCACACCAUAAACUCUGUGUUGAUAUGAUAAUAAUAUUUAAAUGCAGCAAUUAAAUGCAAAUCAAGAUAAAUAAAGACAAAUUUAUCUUAAUAUAACAAA